rnacentral:rRNA from 1 species
AUGAACGCUGGCGGCGUGCCUCAUCCCUGCCAGUCGAGCGAACAGACGAGGAGCUUGCUCCUCUGACGUUAGCGGCGGACGGGUGAGUAACACGUGGAUAACCUACCUAUAAGACUGGGAUAACUUCGGGAAACCGGAGCUAAUACCGGAUAAUAUAUUGAACCGCAUGGUUCCAUAGUGAAAGACGGUUUUGCUGUCACUUAUAGAUGGAUCCGCGCCGCAUUAGCUAGUUGGUAAGGUAACGGCUUACCAAGGCAACGAUGCGUAGCCGACCUGAGAGGGUGAUCGGCCACACUGGAACUGAGACACGGUCCAGACUCCUACGGGAGGCAGCAGUAGGGAAUCUUCCGCAAUGGGCGAAAGCCUGACGGAGCAACGCCGCGUGAGUGAUGAAGGUCUUCGGAUCGUAAAACUCUGUUAUUAGGGAAGAACAAAUGUGUAAGUAACUAUGCACGUCUUGACGGUACCUAAUCAGAAAGCCACGGCUAACUACGUG